rnacentral:tRNA from 1 species
GCCUUCGUGGUGUAGUGAUCAGCACGCUCGACCCGUAACUGAGAGGUCCGUGGUUCGAUUCCCGGCGAGGGCA